GAUGAACGCUGGCGGCGUGCCUAAUACAUGCAAGUCGAGCGAACAGAUGAGGAGCUUGCUCCUUUGACGUUAGCGGCGGACGGGUGAGUAACACGUGGAUAACCUACCUAUAAGACUGGGAUAACUUCGGGAAACCGGAGCUAAUACCGGAUCAUAUAUUGAACCGCAUGGUUCAAUAGUGAAUGACGGUUUUGCUGUCUCUUAUAGAUGGAUCCGCGCCGCAUUAGCUAGUUGGUAAGGUAACGGCUUACCAAGGCAACGAUGCGUAGCCGACCUGAGAGGAUGAUCGGCCACACUGGAACUGAGACACGGUCCAGACUCCUACGGGAGGCAGCAGUAGGGAAUCUUCCGCAAUGGGCGAAAGCCUGACGGAGCAACGCCGCGUGAGUGAUGAAGGUCUUCGGAUCGUAAAGCUCUGUUAUUGGGGAAGAACAAAUGUGUAAGUAACUAUGCACGUCUUGACGGUACCUAAUCAGAAAGCCACGGCUAACUACGUG
rnacentral:rRNA from 1 species